rnacentral:rRNA from 1 species
GACGAACGCUGGCGGCGUGCUUAACACAUGCAAGUCGAACGGAAAGGCCUGCUUUCCCUUGUGGAUUGCGGGUACUCGAGUGGCGAACGGGUGAGUAACACGUGAGUGAUCUGCCCCCAACUUGGGUAUAAGCCUGGGAAACUGGGUCUAAUUCCCGAUAGGACUGCAGGGUGGUGCCUGUGGUGGAAAACGAUUUUCUAGUGGUUGGGGAUGAGCUCGCGGCCUAUCAGCUUGUUGGUGGGGUAAUGGCCUACCAAGGCGGCGACGGGUAGCCGGCCUGAGAGGGUGGACGGCGACAUUGGGACUGAGAUACGGCCCAGACUCCUACGGGAGGCAGCAGUGGGGAAUAUUGCACGAUGGGCGGAAGCCUGAUGCAGCGACGCCGCGUGGGGGAUGACGGCCUUCGGGUUGUAAACUCCUUUCGACCGCGAGGAAGCCACCUGGUUGGAAGGGUGGUGACGGUAGUGGUAGAAGAAGCACCGGCUAACUACGUG